AAGUCGUAACAAGGUUUCCGUAGGUGAACCUGCGGAAGGAUCAUUACUGAAGCAUUUGCAAUGGUUUUGUUGCUGCCUUGAAAAAGGAUCGUGCACGCCAUUCAAUCUUCUAUUUACCCACCUGUGCACCUUUCAUAGACUUACGUUGAAAUAAGUUCUCACUAUAAAAUGUGGAUGUGGGAGCGUAGCCCGUAGCUUGUUCUCAACUCUUGUUCAACUGUCUAUGUCUUUUUUAUACACACUAUUUGAUAUAAAUGAAUGUAUUGGCUCUAUGGAUCGAUUUCCAUAUAAAUGUAAAUACAACUUUCAGCAACGGAUCUCUUGGCUCUC
rnacentral:misc_RNA from 1 species